GGGGCUAAGGCACAAAAGGGAUCGGGGAAGACCGUGAGAGAAAUAGAAAAACGGCGCAUAACUCCCAUCUCCAAUUCUCUGAAGAACAGAAGAAAAAAAAAAGAAAACCUUCCCUCUUUACAAUCAGAAAAUCCCUUCUCAAGCAAAAGCCAGACGCAUCCCCUCCCUCAAAUCUUUGAAAACAAAAAAAAAAGUAAAGAAAAGGAACCACGAAGAAUGUAAAUCUGGUCCGAUUACUGCUGCAGUACAUAUACAUCUCAUGGGUGUUCGAUUUUAACUUUGAUUUCAGAAGUCGAAGCUAUUUGUUGUUGUUUCCCCUUCAAUUAGCAGUUGAACACCAAUUUGAAGUUAUUUUAGGCCUUAUUUGGCUAUUCUAAAGUCUUACUACUGUUGUCCAGCCCGAGGAUCUUUGAGGAGGCCGAGGACUCCUCAUCCUGCAUUUUGUAAGAGGAAAGCUACCUCCUCUUUGGCAUCUAAUCCCACUGUAACUGCGUCCAGGCUAGCUUGAUCAUCUGCUUUUGUUCCUUCCUCAGCUGCCACCAGGUCUGCUCGGUCGUCGACCCCGUCUGUUGCUGCCUUGGUGUCAUUUUCUUCUCGGCCUGUGAAUACUUCGAUAGCGGAGAUUCUAACUUCCCCCCUGCACCGUCUUGUGGACAAGAAAGAGGAGGAGUUGCCAAGCAGCGGGAUUUUGGUUCCCCAUAAGAGAAGAUCGAUGCACGUCGUCUAUGGGUUGCCCAGACUGUAGAUUCGACAAUGGAUGAUUUUUUCAUCCGUGAAAUGGCAACCAUAAACUCAAGGAUGAUGUCGAGCCGUCGUCUAAAAUUCCAACAUUGGUGGGGACCAUAGAGGGCAUACCUCUUCCCUUUGCAGCGGUAAGAGCCAAAGGGUCGGCCACUGUGGUUUCUGAUAAUCUGCUGCAAGAUGUGCCAUCGACUUCGCAGCCGGCUACCGAUUCUCUUUUGUUGGUCGAAGGGAGAAAAAGACGUUGUCGGGGAUGGAUAUGAGACGAGUUUUGAUCUCAAUGCUGAUGAAAUAAGGAUGAUGGAGGAGGGGUUUACCCAACUUUAGGUGAGAUUGGAGGGGUCCACGCGGACCAUUGCAAUUCCCAUGGACAGUGAACUUUUGAAAAACACAGAAAACGUGGUCCCUUCUCUUGGUCCUCUUUGUUCUGACGUGGAGGGUGUAACCUUUGCGGUGUUGGAUAACGCCACCUUAUCGAGAAGCAUAGUCGGCCUCGCUCUCUGGACCGUGAUUUUGGAAAUUGAAAGUGCUCGAAGAGAGGAGAGGUGCAAGGAUAUUUUUAUGAAGUUACGGCGAAAGUACCGCGAGCACCGUGAUAAGCAUUGGGAGAUUUGUAGGUGGUUUGGUGAGAACGGCAAUUUCCAGGCUCUCUGAGAUGAACUGAAGGAGAAAUAUGACGAGCUAGUGAGGGUCAUCUAAAAAUGCAGCAUUCUUGAGGAGACACUAAGAAAUAAAUAAGAAGAACUUGAGGUUAGUAGGGGGCCGAAUCCAAGUAUGGCGAUCUCCAAGCCUAGGUGGUCUCACUAUGCACCGAGCUUGAGGAGUGUCAACUCAAAGCAGAUACUUUAAGUGGCUAGGUCACUGAGAAGGCAGUGGAUCUUGAGAAGGUGGAGUUAGCUCGGGUGAGGGCUAUGAGAAAGGUGGAGGCUUUCGAGAUCGUGAUCCGUUUUCUCCGUUCCGAACGAGAGAGUGCCUUAGAGGCAGCCAGGCUCAAAGAAGAGCGAUUUGAUGAACAGAUUGGAGAAUUAGAGAAAGAGGCUUCUGGCCUUUGUGAUCGAGUCACCGCUCUAGAGGCCAAGAAGGCCCAAUUACUGGAUCGACCAUCCUCUUCCCGCACUUCUUAUUUCCCUGAUAUUCCCCGAGAUUUUUACAAGGAGUGGAUUUAUGUCGAGGCCUAGCUGGAUAUAUUUAGAGAUCUGAUGAGGGCAUGAAUAGUUUCAGAAGCCAUCUUUAAAGAUGCUCGUGUUAAGGCACGUGGAGCUCGGGUCACUUGUGGUUAUGAUCCUGCUACACCAGAUGCCAGUGACGAUGAGGGAGAUGCAGGCAUAGACCGAAUUGAAGAGGAUGCCUGGUACGAGGAUGAGUAUCCUGAGGGCGAUGGGGAUGGCCUAGGUGAUCAAGCCGAUGGCAUUGCUGGUCUUGGUGGCAAUUAGUAGUUUUUCUUUUCCUUCUUUUGUUUUACCGCAAACUUGUGCGUUUUUGUGGGCGUCUUUUCGAGCCUUUGUAAAAAAUAUUCAAAGUAUGAAAUGACAAUUUUGUUAUUUAUACCUAAUCCUUUUUCUUCAGUUCGUGCUUGUAUACUUGUUGAUCUUGUUGCUUGGUUGCCUUGGUUUUCUUAGCUCGAAUAGGGUUAAACAUAUCUUUAGUUUAAUUGCUGCCGAGGGUCAGCAGAUGUUAGUUCAAAUGAGGUCGAAACAAAACCUAUGUUUGAUCAUGGUCGAGGGCCAGUAAAUGUUAGUUCGAACGAGGUCAAACAUAUCAUAUGUUUAUUUAUGGUCGAGGGCCGGUUAGGUGUUACUUCGAAAAAGAUUGAAUAUAACCUAUAUGGCCGAGGGCCAGUUAGGUGUUAAUUCGAACGAGGUCGAAUAUAACCUAUACUU